rnacentral:rRNA from 1 species
CCGUGACCCUUAAACAAAACAGACCGCGAACGAGUCACCCGUGCCGCCGGGCUCCGGCCCGGCACGCUGCCCCCCCCGAACCUCCCGCGGGGAAGGGGGGGCCGCGAAUAAGAACCCACGGCGCCCCGGGCGCCAAGGAACACCAGUACUACCUCCUGCCCAGCGGAACGGUCGGCCCGCCCUCCGCUCCCCGGGCAGCGGUUACACCUUAAUCGACACGACUCUCGGCAACGGAUAUCUCGGCUCUCGCAUCGAUGAAGAACGUAGCAAAAUACGAUACCUGGUGUGAAUUGCAGAAUCCCGCGAACCAUCGAGUUUUUGAACGCAAGUUGCGCCCGAAGCCUUCUGGCGGAGGGCACGUCUGCCUGGGCGUCACGCCAAAAGACACUCCCAACACCCCCCGCGGGGCGAGGGACGUGGCGUCUGGCCCCCCGCGCCGCAGGGCGAGGUGGGCCGAAGCAGGGGCUGCCGGCGAACCGCGCCGGGCGCAGCACGUGGUGGGCGACAUCAAGUUGUUCUCGGUGCAGCGUCUCGGCGCGCGGCCGGCGCGUCGGCCCUAAGGACCCAUCCAGCGACCGAGCUUGUCCUCGGACC